rnacentral:rRNA from 1 species
CUUGCUCUGGAAAGCGCCACCACGCAACGCGACCUCCCCCCCUCCUCGAUACACACGUAUAAAAUCCGCAACCCUCCCAGGGCGGAGUUCUGGGCGCGCGGCGGAGCCUUUCCUCGGAUUUUCUCUCCGUGCUUCUUCCCGGCCGCGGCCGCAGUCGGCAUCGCAAGUGCUUGGCAAAUAGCAAGACGCUAUGAAAUUCCGCAAAGGGGGCAAGGUGGAGGUACUGCAGAAGGCGGAGGCACCUUUCGGUUCCUGGAGGCCUGCCGAGAUCCUUUCUGGCAAUGGGCACACCUAUCUCGUAAGCUAUGAUCCAUGUCUGCUUGACGGUAGUCUGGCCAUUGAAAGGGUUCCAAGAAAGGUGAUAAGGCCUUCUCCCCCGUCCCCAGAUGGUCUGGUGUGCUGGGUCCCAGGCGACAUCCUUGAAGUCUUCGACAGCUAUUCAUGGAAGGUUGUGGAAGUCGUGAGAUUGCUUGGUCAUGAGUACUAUCUUGUCAGGCUCCUCGGAUCCUCCCUAGAAUUGAGGGUAGAUGCAUCCAACCUUAGGACAAGGCAGCUUUGGCAAGAUGGCAAAUGGGUUGCUCUUCCAAAGGAUUCUGCAAGAUGUGCUGCUGGUUCACACAGGAGUCGGACAAAAGGUGGAAAUUCAGGGGGCAGUCAUCUUCUAUUAAAGAACAAGAAUGUGUUUGAAGACAAUAUGUCUCGAGGCAUGAAGAGGAAAACCUCUGCUGCAUCAGCUUUCCCUAUGCAGCGCAGUGAAGUUACUAAGAGAUUUCAGACUUCUCGCAGAGAUGGAAGACGCCAACAUCUUGGUCCUGGAGAUUCUCUUCAUUUGAUGGAUAAGGUAGAUGCUGUUGAUUCCCCAUGCUUAAUGCUGGGUGAAAAAUGCAUGCAUGAUUCCUUAAAUAACAGAGCAAAUGGCUUUCCUAAAACAAACCUUGCAGUGGUUAAUGCUAAUGUUGAUUAUCAGUAUCCCUCUGUAACAACUCAAGAUAGUGAUACUGAUAGUGCCGCAUCCUCUGUUGGUAGUUGCAAUCCCUACGGUAGCCCCUAUAGACAAGCACAUCCUCAGGAGUACGACAGUGGAGAUAUUUGUAGUAGGACUGAUGAUGAUGAUGAAGCUUCUGUAUCUGGAACUGAAUCACCUCUUCCAAUUAAAGGUGGUCUGGGGGAAGAAACCCAUCUGCUUGAGUUGCAUGCUUAUCGUGCAACAAUGAUGGCACUAUAUGCUUAUGGAUCAAUUAGCUGGGAGCAAGAGGCUUUGAUGACUAAUCUGAGGCUUACACUGAACAUCUCUACUGAUGAACAUUUAUCAGAGGCCGAAGUUGGAGGCUUGUAAAGCAUCCUUCGGUAGGUCUGUGUUGAUGGAGGAGUUUGUCACAUGGUUUACUUGGUGACCAAUGUGGCAAUUUCCAUCAAACUUUGGUUCGUAUCCAAUUUUUUUUUGUUUGUUUCAUAUCUUCCUUUUUUAGCUUCUUUUAGGGCUCUACUAGCUUUUGCAAGGAUACUGGACAGGAAUUUGGCUUGGCAUUAAUGAACAAAUAAGUUAAUGGUAAUAUUCAACAUGCAGCAUGUUUGCAAAAAAGAAUGCUUAUGUCAGUACAGAGAACUACUACAGCAUUUAUUGGAUAUUCUGACCAUGUCCUUUCCUGAACAAGGAAAACAAAGGAGCAGUUAAGUGUGCAAUAAUCUGGAUAUGUUGCUCUGUUGGUAAAGGAAGGAAUUGGAUAUCAUAAUUGCACAUUGCGAUCUAUGUGAUUAAUCGCUAAAUUAAUAUAAAAAUUGUGUUGUUUAAGUUGAAAAGCUCAAUAAAUAUAGGUAUGGAUUAUAUGACGAUAAAAGUAGAUAGUAGUCAUAGCACAUGUGAUUUGUUAAAGUAGUUUUCAGAGAUUUAUCUUGGCGACAGUACUCUUCAAAUGCUAGGUCUCGGAAGCUCAUCUAUUGAAGUUAAUAGCUGGUUUUUGCUUUGCAAGAAUUCAUGUCAGCUAAAUGAUUAUUUGGCGCAUUCUGGGGAAUGAGGGAGACUAUCCCUAGGUAGACUUAUUGGUUUUUGGCAUGUACAGUGAGCUACACCUGCAACUUACUUGAUGUGGAUAUUGAGAGGUAAGUUAGUAGGUUAGUAGGCAUAUUGUUUAUCCUCAGGCUCAGCAGUUCUACGGUAGGUUUGUUAAUUCUCAUACAUGAUAGAUAUUGCAAGUGUAAAGUAUUUCUCUGAAAAGUGCUGACUCAGAUGUGUUACUACAUGAUCUUCUUGAUAUCCUUAUAAGGAGUUAUGGAGACUACCUUUGUAUUUCAUAAAUGUAAAAGUACUUACCUGAAAAGUAAUGCUUAUUUUGGC